rnacentral:rRNA from 1 species
UACGUAGGGUGCAAGCGUUGUCCGGAAUUAUUGGGCGUAAAGAGCUCGUAGGCGGUUCGUCGCGUCGGCUGUGAAAUCCCGAGGCUCAACCUCGGGUCUGCAGUCGAUACGGGCGGACUGGAGUACUGCAGGGGAGACUGGAAUUCCUGGUGUAGCGGUGAAAUGCGCAGAUAUCAGGAAGAACACCAAUGGCGAAAGCAGCUCUCUGGGACGGUACUGACGCUGAGACGCGAAAGCGUGGGGAGCGAACAGG